rnacentral:rRNA from 1 species
AUUGAACGCUGGCGGCAUGCUUUACACAUGCAAGUCGAACGGCAGCGCGGGAUUCGGCCUGGCCUCGUGUUGGCAACGGGCGGGUGAUUCAUCCGUACAUGCCCAGCCUUUGGGGCUGGGAUGGCUACGGCCGGCUUGAUACCACAUCGGAUCAGAUGUUGAACGGGGGGGAUCAAAAGUCCUCGACCGUUUUGAUGGGCCGAUGUGGGAUUAGCUAGUUGGUUGGGUAAAGGCUUACCAAGGCGACGAUCCGUAGCUGAUCUGAGAGGACGACCUGCCACACUGGGACUGAGACACGGCCCAGACUCCUACGGGAGGCAGCAGUGGGGAAUCUUGGACAAUGGGGGCAAGCCUGACCCAGCAAUGCCGCGUGCGGGAAGAAGGCCUUCGGGUUGUAAACCGCUUUUGUUAGGGAAGAAAUCCUGUGGGCUAAUACGCCGGGGGGAUGACGGUACCGGAAGAAUAAGCACCGGCUAACUACGUG